CAGAUUGCACGAUACUCAUAUAUGAAUUUAGCAGAUUGUAUUAAGCAAAAAUAUCGCGUAAUCUUCUGUGCCGAUUCGGGUAUCAACAAAUGGCGAUAAUUAUCGCCACGCGGACUUCGCCAUGUGUUUGGCCAUCGCUAUGUACAUCGCUACCGGGGCACUUGGUAUAAUUCAACAGGCCUUGUCGAUGAUCGGCAUGUUCCUGUUAACUUUAUUUGGUAAAGCGAUCUUAUUAAUCGGCCACACAGUGAUAGGAAGUUAUAAUACCUUGAGGAGAAGACAUCAAGUUAUUAACGAGGAAUGGCAAUCAUAUACGGAUUCCGAGGAUGAUCCUAUUGCCAUCAGGAGUGAAACAUCCCUCAAGUCAAAGCAUUCUUCUCAGACAAUAAGACAUAUUAACCCACAAACGAGCCAUUCGACUAGUGAAACUUCUAUUUCCAUUUGAACUUCAUCAAACGAUAUUGAUUGCGAAGUUAUACUACACAAGCAUUGAGAAUAUUAUACUAUUAAAUAAAAAGAAACAUACGUAUCUAGUGCAAAAGUAUAUCUGUUCUAUCAGUUAUGUAAAUAAAUUACUGUAAAAAUUCUAAAAUAAUAACACAAAAUUGCAAAAAUUUUGUAAAUAAUUAUAAUUGAGCGUAAUUUUUCCAGGUAAUUAAUGUUCCUUCUAGUUUUAAUAUUUAAUAAAUUGCCUAUCAAUAGGUUAAAAUUUUUAUAGAUUUUUAUGAAUAACAGCAACGAGAUUUCACAAGAUUUCAACUGAUCAUGGUCUAAAGAUGACAAAAUAAAUUUUUUAUUGAUUGAUGUCAAUUAUGUGUUCAUUAAUGUAUAUAAUUAUUGUGCAAAUAUCACAGUCAUUAAAAAUAACUUUAGCUUGUCUUUUUUAGAAUAAAAUCAUGAAUUUCAAAUUUUAUUUGAAGAUAAAAGCCUUACUUCUAAUUGCGGCUCUUUGGUUUAUAUGGAAAUUAGUCACAAAAAUAGUUGCAUAAUAUUUAUAUUCUUUAUAUGUAUAAAUAUUAAUUUCAAUAGCAAACAUUUUGAUAUUACAGAAAAGGCUAUAUUAUAGAAAGCUUAUAUAUAAGAGUAUAAGCAAGAUUCAAUAGCAUAUAUAGUUAGAAAAGUUCUAGACGACAAUACAAGUGGACGGAAUAUGUUAAUACAUGUCAAUACAUGAGAAAGACUUGCAAUACAUAUGCUUAAAUCUAAUUCAUUUUAUACGUGGACGGAAUCAUAUCGCAAUAAGUUCGUAAAUAUAUUUACUAACGAUACAAUAAAAAUUUAUAUAACUUGUACUGUUCCACAUCAUAUUGAUUAGUCUGUUCAUUGUAAAAUAGUUAAAAAGUAGUGUAACUCUUAUAACAAAUUUUUUGUGCGUAAUAGUCUGUACAUAGAGUCGGCAGUGACUUCAUUUAAUUUGAAGAAUUACUUUGAUCAUUAUAUAUAUAUAUAUUAAACAAGAAAAUAUAUAUGUAUCAAACA